UACGUAGGGGGCAAGCGUUGUUCGGAAUUACUGGGCGUAAAGGGCGCGUAGGCGGCACAGCAAGUCGGGAGUGAAAGCCCGGGGCUCAACCCCGGAACUGCUUUCGAAACUGCUGAGCUAGAGUACAGAAGGGGCAACCGGAAUUCCCAGUGUAGCGGUGAAAUGCGUAGAUAUUGGGAAGAACACCUGAGGCGAAGGCUGGUUGCUGGGCUGAUACUGACGCUGAGGCGCGAAAGCCAGGGGAGCAAACGGG
rnacentral:rRNA from 1 species